AGGCCAUUAGCAGGAAGCUGGGUGGGAAGUGGAGCAGCCAGGACAUGAAUCCAUACCAAUAUAGGAUCCUAGCGCUUGCAUGGCCAGGAUUUAGC